rnacentral:rRNA from 1 species
GACGAACCGUGCGAACGUUAUUCGGAAUCACUGGGCUUAAAGCGCGUGUAGGCGGGUCGGUACGUCCGUGCCUGAAAUCCCCCGGCUCAACCGGGGAAUGGGGCGGGAUACGGCCGUCCUGGAGGGACGUAGGGGGACCUGGAACUUCCGGUGGAGCGGUGAAAUGCGUUGAGAUCGGAAGGAACGCCCGUGGCGAAAGCGAGGUCCUGGACGUUUUCUGACGCUGAGACGCGAAAGCCAGGGGAGCGAACGGG